rnacentral:rRNA from 1 species
GACGAACGCUGGCGGCGUGCUUAACACAUGCAAGUCGAACGGUAAGGCCCUUCGGGUACACGAGUGGCGAACGGGUGAGUAACACGUGGGUGAUCUGCCCUGCACUUCGGGAUAAGCUUGGGAAACUGGGUCUAAUACCGGAUAGGACCACGGUCUGCAUGGAUUGUGGUGGAAAGCUUUUGCGGUGUGGGAUGGGCCCGCGGCCUAUCAGCUUGUUGGUGGGGUGAUGGCCUACCAAGGCGACGACGGGUAGCCGGCCUGAGAGGGUGUCCGGCCACACUGGGACUGAGAUACGGCCCAGACUCCUACGGGAGGCAGCAGUGGGGAAUAUUGCACAAUGGGCGCAAGCCUGAUGCAGCGACGCCGCGU